GUGUAAUAGCUGCUUUGGGGAGUGGAAGAGGCUGAAAGGAAGACAAAGAGUGAAGGUGGGGAAACAAGAUGGUAGUGGUGGAGAGAACCAGUGAAGGAGAAGGUUAAGGUGGUGCUGAGAAGGAAUAGAGAGAUUUUUCUUCUCUUUAAGAGAAGCAGAGGAAAGAAUCCAGCUGCUGACAAUAUAGGGAUAUCUGGCUCCAGGAAUAACAGAUUCUAUGGUACUCAGCUUCUUCAAAAUGAACUCCAGCGUACUGUAGAACAGAAGCGGUGAGAAGAGAUAUGUGUUUUGUUCCUGAUCUAGAGGGUGUAUAAUGCUGGUAUUUCACCGAAGAUUCAGGGUUGCAAAUCCUUGAGUUUUGUGUGGCCACAGCCACUUCCUGGGAUUGUCCCAAGAGAAAUGUAACCAUAGACAUCCAGGU